GAUGAACGCUGGCGGCGUGCUUAACACAUGCAAGUCGAACGGAAAGGCCCAAGCUUGCUUGGGUACUCGAGUGGCGAACGGGUGAGUAACACGUGGGUGAUCUGCCCUGCACUUCGGGAUAAGCCUGGGAAACUGGGUCUAAUACCGGAUAGGACCACAUUUUGGAUGGUGUGGUGGAAAGGUUUUCGGUGUGGGAUGAGCUCGCGGCCUAUCAGCUUGUUGGUGGGGUAAUGGCCUACCAAGGCGUCGACGGGUAGCCGGCCUGAGAGGGUGUACGGCCACAUUGGGACUGAGAUACGGCCCAGACUCCUACGGGAGGCAGCAGUGGGGAAUAUUGCACAAUGGGCGCAAGCCUGAUGCAGCGACGCCGCGUGGGGGAUGACGGCCUUCGGGUUGUAAACUCCUUUCGCUAGGGACGAAGCGUUAUGUGACGGUACCUGGAGAAGAAGCACCGGCUAACUACGUG
rnacentral:rRNA from 1 species